rnacentral:rRNA from 1 species
UACGUAGGGGGCAAGCGUUAUCCGGAUUUACUGGGUGUAAAGGGCGUGCAGCCGGGAGUGCAAGUCAGAUGUGAAAUCCCGCGGCUCAACCGCGGAACUGCAUUUGAAACUGUGCUUCUUGAGUGCCGGAGAGGCAAGCGGAAUUCCUAGUGUAGCGGUGAAAUGCGUAGAUAUUAGGAGGAACACCAGUGGCGAAGGCGGCUUGCUGGACGGUAACUGACGCUGAGGCUCGAAAGCGUGGGGAGCAAACAGG